UACGAAGGUCCCGAGCGUUAUCCGGAUUUAUUGGGUUUAAAGGGUGCGUAGGCGGGUUAUUAAGUCCGUGGUGAAAGCCUACAGCUUAACUGUAGAAUUGCCAUUGAUACUGAUGAUCUUGAGUAUGAUUGAGGUGGGCGGAAUGUGUCAUGUAGCGGUGAAAUGCUUAGAUAUGACACAGAACACCGAUUGCGAAGGCAGCUCACUAAGUCAUAACUGACGCUGAUGCACGAAAGCGUGGGGAGCAAACAGG
rnacentral:rRNA from 1 species